AAAUUUAAGCAAUGUACCACAGGCGGUGUUCUUUACACUGACUGUAUAGAAAGAGGAGGUAUAGUAAAUACUCCCCGUAUACACUUCAAAUCAGGACCUUUGCCUGAUCUGUAUUGUGAAGGGGGGGGACAAAA